rnacentral:rRNA from 1 species
AGAGUUUGAUCAUGCUCAGAUUGAACGCUGGCGGAAUGCUUUACACAUGCAAGUCGAACGGCAGCACGGGGCAACCUGGUGGCGAGUGGCGAACGGGUGAGUAAUACAUCGGAACGUGCCCAAUCGUGGGGGAUAACGUAGCGAAAGUUACGCUAAUACCGCAUACGAUCUACGGAUGAAAGCGGGGGAUCGCAAGACCUCGCGCGAAUGGAGCGGCCGAUGUCAGAUUAGGUAGUUGGUGGGGUAAAGGCUCACCAAGCCAACGAUCUGUAGCUGGUCUGAGAGGACGACCAGCCACACUGGAACUGAGACACGGUCCAGACUCCUACGGGAGGCAGCAGUGGGGAAUUUUGGACAAUGGGCGCAAGCCUGAUCCAGCCAUUCCGCGUGCAGGAUGAAGGCCUUCGGGUUGUAAACUGCUUUUGUACGGAACGAAACGGCGAGCUCUAAUACAGUUUGCUAAUGACGGUACCGUAAGAAUAAGCACCGGCUAACUACGUG